CCAAGUCUGAUAAUGGCGCGCUACUGCCUGCUUUUCCUUGCUAUGAAUGAAUGGAGCGGUGGGAGCAGGGAGAACUCGCGGUGGGUAGGGGCGCCCAGCGCGCCAGAACCCAGCGGUGUGACAGAUACGUAGUGCAUGCGCGUGUGCAGCAGUGUGUGAGUUAUCCUCGGCAUGACAGUGUGUGUGUACCUUGAGCGUGUUGAAGUGCAGCAGGGGUAGGAUGAGCCUUGUGCAAUUCAUCUAAGCUGAUGCCAUCAAAACAUCACUCCCUUGUGAAGGCGUCCAGCCCUGGGAUUUGUGAAAAAGAGGCUACCUCUGAGCAUACACAGAGGAUUUUUCCUCAUCAUUGAGGAUCCACAGCCAGCCCUGACACAUAUGGAACUAGAG